UACAGAGGGUGUGAGCGUUAAUCGGAAUUACUGGGCGUAAAGCGCGCGUAGGCGGCUUUGCAAGUCGAGUGUGAAAUCCCCGGGCUCAACCUGGGAACUGCAUUCGAGACUGCAUUGCUAGAGUAUGGGAGAGGGAAGUGGAAUUUCAGGUGUAGCGGUGAAAUGCGUAGAUAUCUGAAGGAACAUCAGUGGCGAAAGCGACUUCCUGGACCAAUACUGACGCUCAAGUGCGAAAGCGUGGGGAGCAAACAGG
rnacentral:rRNA from 1 species